rnacentral:lncRNA from 1 species
UAAAAUUUCAAUUAUGUAUUUGCAUUUCUUAAUUUUGAAGGUACCUUUUUAGAAACAUUGAUAAAAGAGACAUUACAGUUAAAUCUUUGGUGUUUUUGGCUUAUGAAAGCAACUAAUAUGUCUAAUAUGAAAUCAUAGAUUGAUCUGCUAUCAUGCAUUCUUAAUUACUUAACAAACCCUUACAGCGGUCAUUGAGGAAUGAGGAAUGAGGCAUAACUUUAACUUGCUGAGAUGGAACACCACCAAAUAAGAAGUAACUUAUAUCAAUUAUUUCUUAAUUCUGUUGAUGAUUUAAGGAGAGUGACAGUUUGCUUCUCUUUGCUUUGGAUCUGCUUUGCAAUUUUGGGAAAGACAACCAGGAAGUCCUUGAAGAAUGAAAUCAAGAUCACAUCAGGGAGAUGACCUAGGUGCUCGACAUUUUGAGAGACAGGUGUCUAGGUUUUCAUUGUCAGUCAUCGGUACAGGUGACCAGGUGAAUACGAAGGUUCAGGAAUGUAACACCUCUGAUUUGCAGAAGCAGCGCAGGCAUGUUGCACACCCCGUGUCUUAUGCUAAUCUUGAGACUCGUAAGAGGUUUGGAAUGUCAACCAGGCAGCGGCUCGAUAAGAGGCACAGAGCGACAACUGCUGCACAGCACUGCAGGGGAGGUCAGGAGGCACUCCGAGGACUGAACCGUCUCCCACCGCUGUAACAUGCACUUACGCAUGUGAGCACAGUCGAGCGACGGCGGAGAGGUCUCCAAGCUGUAAGCACAGACGCUGAUAUCGGCUGUGUUGUGAAAGUUCUUGGGUUUUUGUUGUGCACUUUUGUGCACACAGGUCCCUGCUGAGGUGGAUUUGGUCAACUGAGGGUAAGAUAAUUCAUGCCGGUCCCAGAAAACCAGCCGCGUGCUCCUGGUUCUCACCUCGCAGUGGUUAGCUGCAGGGAGGAUGGCAGGAGCCCCUUCACUGUCUCAGUGACAGGUUUUGGGCUGGAGCUGGUGUUUGUCUGCCUGGCCACAGGGGUGGGGGAGCACACGCUGAAGGAAUGCACCCCCUUCUACAUCGCAAUGUCUCGUGCGGUGAUUGGAUUGCCUUUGUGGUAUCCGACAAGCGCAAAGCAGGAAUGGCCUUCUCAACACAGUGGCAAUGCUGGCAUUCUUCGGCACUACUCAUCUCUGCUCAGACCCUUAUCAAGUACCUCUUUCAACUUCCCACUUCAAAAGAAAACGCCACAAACUUUAAACAGCAUUAUCCACUGUCAAUUGGAACCCAAACAUGACAGAUCACACUACCUAACAGGAUUUUCCACUGAAGAAGGAAUGUACAAGAGAACUUGUUUGUUGUGAAUGUUAACAGGCUGCUGAAUGUAAUUUACAGGCAAAGAAAGAAGUCAGAAGUACCAAGACAGUGGUGAAGGAAAGGAUUUUAAUUUCCAGCACCUUUAUGCAAGAGUUGUAUGCUUUCAUCCAGUUUUCAAGAUUAAUUAAAACAGACAUAAUGGUACAGCACAUUUAAGGUCACACAUAUAAUAAAGUUAAGUUUUAAAAGCAGCAGCUUGUUUACUUAAUCUUGAUUCUUCCCGUGUUAAAAUAAACCAUGGUUGUGCUUCAUCGAUUGGUUUUUGGCUGUGUGACUAAAUAUCUUACACAUACUAUAUAAGGUAGGACAUGGAGUUUUGGAAAUAGAAUAUUAUUUUUAUUUUAUUUUCCAAUUGAACACGUUGAAUUGUGUUGAAUCAUAUAUUUGAUGUAUGAAGAAUACAUACAAAAACUUUUUAAAGGAUUUUCAUUAUUAAAUGCUCAUAGAGUAUGACCUUUUGUGCACUAUAGCUGAAGCCAGCAGCUCUGCCUAUGAAUUCUGAUAUAAUCAAUAUCCUAUUAUGAUGGCAUGUUCAAGUUUACAACUUCAACAUAAUGGUCUAGAUAUUUCAUUCUGUGCCUGCCAGAUAUUGCAGAAUUCACAGUCCUUCUCUCGUGCGUUGUCAGGCCUGUAUUCCUCUAGAAAACAAGGUUUCCUUCCUUUUAAUUAACAAAGGAAUGCAUUUUAACACGGGGAGACAUCUGAGUCCAAAUGUUAAGUCUUUUGGUGUCGAUAGUACCUAAGGUUUCUACUUAUCUGGAACAAGCAGAGGACAGCAGAAAAUCAAAAUGUGAAGCCGUUACAAUGUACAGUCCUAUUCCGAGCCAGGAAUAGACCAGCUUUUUGUAAUAUUAUUAAAUGAUUUCAAUGAUGUAUGUAUCAACACUGUAUAUAAUUUCAACAGCUUUUUAUCUUGAAAAUGAGAAGUGGUAAAAUUGCUGGACCAAAGAAAUCUUGAAGAACUAUUAUUUCUGCAGUUUAAAGUUAUUUUUUUUGUAUCUGAAGCAAAUAGGGCUAAUUAUAAAGUUACUUCUAUUCUGUAUAUUUAUAAAUGUAAAUCAAAUUCCUCACAUUUAUCAAUAUUUUCUCAUUUUCUUUUUGUUUUAUUUUUUUCUUUAUGUCAGAAAUGUUUUCACAUUAAGCAAUAAAUUGGAUUUUCCUGGCUUAUUCGCCUUAUAAUCUGAUACUACUACUGUUAUAAUGUUUCUUGAGUUCAAGCACAUCAUCCAUGGGCCGCUCCUGUCUUGAGCUCUCUGCUACAUGGCUCUGAGUUGCCAGAGCCCUUUCCUGGAAUAAGAAUAAGAAGUGGAUAAGUGAUUAGAGCUCUGGUCUCUUGCCUGCAAGGUUGUGGGUUUAAAUUCUAUGUGAUAUACUGCUAUACACUUAAAUAAAAC